CAGAGAACGGAGUGGCUGCCGUUAGCGCUCGCCACCGGCCACUGCGGGCCACAGGCCAGCACGGCGAUCAGAGCGAACGCGGGGACCCGCAGCCCCUUUGGACGAUGAUGACAUCAGGACUGAGAACAAGAAGUUCACCUCCAAUCAGGAACUUGCUGAAAGAUGAUCCCAUGAGUGACCUCAAACAGACCCCUUAGGGAAGCUCUGCGGGCAUCAGGGUUGAGAGACACCUUAGAAUGUUCCAGUACCUUCGACCAGCAUCAGGGAGCCUCUCAGAGGGGAGGCUGAGCAGCUCCUCUUCCCAAGAGAAGAGUUUCAAGCAGGAGAAAGGAACGAUGAAGGGGACAACAGUGACCCAACCUGCAGGCCAGACUUAAAGCUUUUUGAAGAAGAGCCACGUCUGUCCUUUGGAUUCUCCACGGCUCCUCUGAACAUCGGGACGCUCAGGAGCUCCGUGUGGAUUGGCCGUGACGCUGCAGCCUAAGUAGAUGACGGUUUGUGGCUCGGGCGUUACCUUUGACUGAAGACGUAGCCUUCCUUCUCCAGGACGGUUGUUGGUUGGUGGUUCUCCACAAGGUCACACAGAGAAGAUGAUCUUGUACUUACGGCCACCCCUUCCUCCCUAGCCCGCACCAUGACGCAGGCCAGCCAGAUUAGCCCUGACGACCCUAAGGUGGCAGAUGCUUUGUCCCCAUGCCUCAGCUCUGCCUGAGAGAUGUUGCUAGUUGCCAUGCAUUGCGCCAAGCCCUGGGAGGGACCUUGGAAGGGGGAGGCAGGGAACACGCCAGAAAUCAGUAUUGCUGCAGAGCUGUGCACUCACAGCUUCCUGGCUACGUACGACUGGCUCAGGGACCACCCUUGAUGUGAACUUGGAGCUCUUUGGAGGAAAAGCCUGUGUCUCAGCCCUGUCUCUGUCUUCACAGUGCCCCACCUAACAUCCGGCAUGUAGUACAUACUCAUCAAAGUCUGCUCAGUGAAUAAUUGCACCACAGUGACCAAGCAACCAAGGAGUUCGUGGAGUUAACAAGAGCAGACAUUAGUGACUGUGCUAGAAUGUUCCACCUGUGCCUCCCCUAGCCCCAGUGAGCCCCUCAUCCUACUGGUGCAUGGCUAAGUUUGGGGUCCCAAGCACAAAAUACAGAAAAGUCCCCUUUUGUUAGUUGCAAAAUCUCUAUCUCCCCUAAAAAAAUGGGGACAAAUUCUGGGUAUAAAUCCAGGGUUUUGUGUAGCCUUCGAGCUCUCUUCCAAUUUUCUUUCAAAGCUAGUGAGUUAACUGCGUUCAGGGUGGGCCGGUAAGAACCGUUCCGUGGUGUUGGCACUGCCCACAAGAACUGCAUGCCUGAGGGACCCAGGUCUUCCUCCACGCAGCCCGCCUUGACUUGGUGAACACGUCCUCAGCUCAGUGAGUGUGCAGGAGAGAAGGAAAGGGAGUGUCCCAGCCUGCCACCUCUUCGUCUGCUUACCAGAGGCCUACAUGCUCGCCACCCCUCUCUGGGCCCCGGGAGACAGCCAGUCACCAGCUUCGUGUGCUCCAGCCCUGGAAGUUCACAGCUGGAGUCUCCAGAAUGCCCUCUGGAAUCACUCCUCCAAUGACUGUCCCAAGGCCAAACUGGAUAAGAAAUGGCAAAGACAGGUGGAGGAGACAGAAGUGUAUAACCAGGGGCAGAUACUAGAGAAGCAGAGGACUGGAAGGAAGGUGGCUCUAAACUGGGCACCCCCGGGAGUGGCAAAGGCCGUUCCAAAGAAAGGGGCAGGCUCCUAGGAAAUUGCUCACGUAACUGGGUCUAGAUGGAAAGCUGUAAAGUAAAGACGCCUCCUUACCCCAUUCCCACUCCCAUCAUAGAGGACACCAGUGAAGUCCCCACAGAACAGCUGCACCAGCAUCUUGACACUCCUUAACUGGUUCUCCUCGCCAGGCCACUGACUCUGCCUCGCCAAGUGUGGAGGAGACUCUAACGAUGACAGUGUCAAGCGCUGACUGCGCCACAUGCUCCCCAUGCAGUAUCUCAUUUAAUCCUCCCAAGAACCCUUUGAAAUAGGCGUGUUUCUAUCCUCACCUUGCAAAUGAAAGAAAGAAGAUGUAGAGAAGCUAAGUAACUUGCCCAAGGUCACGCAACUAAUAAGCAGAGGAGCAGGGAUUCAAAUCCAAGUCUGCCCAUUGCCCACGCUUUUAAAAGUUCUAAGGUUUUCCAUUGCAGGAUUUUUAAUUCCAUUUGCUGGGAUAACCAGCCCGUUUUCUCCCUGUGUUAUAUGGCCAUCUUGAAGUGGUCCUGUUUCCGCAGUCCCUUCUUCAGCCUGUCAAAGCCACAAGAAAGGUUUCUAAGAGACUGAGUCUGGCAGGUGAGGAACACUUGCGAUCCCUAUUGAAGCCACGUUCAUGGGCGACCCAAGCUGUCGACCGGCAGUCGCUGGAAUUUCUGCUGUGGAAAUUGGAGGAGAUUCUCCAGUCAUGGCGGACUUAAGAAUCUGUGGUUAUGCUCUCAAGUCUUUAAGUCAGAUGUUACAAUUUAUUUCUACUCCACUGUAUCUGUGGCUUCAACUGGAGUAGCUGGGACAGCUGGGGGUGGCCAGGAUGGCCCAGCUGGGGCUCUGUGCCUGGGCCUUGGUUCUGUCUGUCAGCUUCUUCUUUGACUCCUUUUCCCAUGCCAUCUGGUGAAGCUGACAUGUCCACAGUGGCUUUUUCCCUCAUGUGUGUGGUGCCUCAUGUUCUUCUGUGUGGCCCCUCUCUCCAGCAGAGUAGCCCAUCUUCUUGUGUCGGUGGCAGGGCCCUAAGAGCCCUCUGUCAAUGCUCCACUCCAUGGCGCCAUCCCUGUGCUACCCCACAGCCCCUGCUGUGGGAACUGCUGCCAGGCGGCUGUGCUGAACACGUGACGCUGCCUCUGUGCCCCUCCCCACCCCGACACACAGUUCCUUAGGCCAGACCAGGUCCCAGUAUAGGACCACCAAUGACUCUUGAAGUCACCUGGCACAGAAAUGUAAAGAAAGCCAGUCAGAUGUCCACUUUUGAAAAUUUGAACCAAAAAAAUCAGACAGUGUAGCCAGAGGGCAGGCAGGUCCUGGAUGGACCAAUGUGUCAGCCAAAAUUACACUGAAGAAGAAACUUGGAGAUUGAAGAAAAACCAAAAUAAGCUUUGACAUGGAGAAAAAUCUGCUCACAGUGGAGAGAAAAAUAAGCUGUUUUUUAGCAAGAGGAUAAAGGAGGGAAUGGAAGAGGGUCGCUGCGACCCCAUGAAGGCAGAGGAGGGCCAGCCCCAGAACUGUCCUCCUGCCUGCCCAUGGCUCACCAGGCCUGGCCUUGCCCGAGUGUGUCAUUGCAGCCAGCCUGCUACUUGUUCCCUUUGCUGUCAGUUGCCUUAGAAGUGGCAUGUGACUUAGUUCUGCCAACCAUCUGAGACCAAGGGGGAAAGCCAACAUGUUAAGGAUGGCAGAACAGACAGACAAAAGGAGCCUGAGUCUUUAGUGACAUUGUUGAGCCAUUAUACCUGUCCUGGGAAUCACCUACUUCUGUUUUCUAAGCAGAUUUCUGCUACUUGCAGCUAAAAGCAUUCCUUACCUCUUCCUAGAACCUCUCUGUCUUCAACUCCUUAGAGCCCUGUGGCUCUUGCUAUAGCUACAAAUAGAAAAUCAACCCAAGUUUAGACAUCGGAAAUCUUGCUCAUAUGGGUAGGAAAUAAAAAUCAGGAUUUGUCACAGCCCACAAAGCAAUUCCAGAUCUUGGUUCCCCUCCCUCAUCCUAUAGGACAUAGACCAGAUAAAAUGAAAUGUUCAGCAAAGUUCCAAAAAUUCAGCAUGUCUUCUAAAAUGGGGCUCAGUGAUGAAUUUUAGGAAGAUGCUCAGAGCGGGUUGUAAGGCGUGAGCUGCAGCACCUAAGCAGGAGGCCAUGGAGGCUUGUGGGAGCAGCGGCAGGUUGGGAUGGCCAGGUGGUAGGUGGGGCAGACAAGUUCUGGACAAAGAGGCCAGUGUCCACAGCUGGGUCUUGUGAGUUCCAUGUACUGACUGGAAGGAGUUUGUGGCAGGAACUAAACUGGUGGGAAACUAGAAGUUUUGGUCACUCUCCAGCCAACCUUAGUGACGGUUCAGAUCCUCUUGUGAAUAAGGUGGCCUGUAUUGUGGCCCUCUGUUGCCGGUCCCUGUGCACCGGCACUCCCCAUUUUGGCCUUUCCUCGUCUCUCCACCUCUCCUCUUUUUUCUCUACCUUUUCCUUCUAGCUUCUCUAAGCAAAGCCAGGAGCCAGAAAUGUAUAAGACCUGAGUCUCGCUUCACACUCAACUGGAGAGUGCCUAUAGGGGGAGGCAAAACUGUAUUUUGGAAGACUCAGAACGCUCGUCUAAGGACGAGGAGUGAGGUGGCUGGUAGGAGAGAAGCAGUCAGUUUUGAUGAGGCUAGAGAAAGCUUUCUUCUGGUUCAGCUUUCACAUGUGGUUUGUGUGUGUUUCUUAAACACAAGUAACGUGCCUGAUCCUUCCCUUGGGAAAUGAGAAGAUGAACUCAAGAAUUCUAGCCCUUCCCCUUUUAAGUCUCUGUUUUUAAAAACAUAAAAUAAAGAUAAACUGGCAUCCUCCUAAUGCAUCUUACAAAUGCAGAUUAUUCCACCUACCCCGUUUCCUAGCUCAGACUAGUCUUUGGAGAUGUGGCCCUUAGAAGUUCAUCAGAUUUGUGGGGCCCGAUUCUGCCACUAAGCCCAGCCCUCUCGAUGCUGUCCUCGUGCACCCUGCUUAUGGCAUGGAGUCCUGGCCCCGAAGGCCAAACCCAGUGCAAUGCUGACCUUUGCCUGUUUUAUUACCCCACUCAACAGAAAUGUAUUGGCUACCUAGUAGGAUAAACUUAAGCUUAUAAAAGGAUUAAGGAAGAUAAGUCAUUAGAGACCAAAAGAAAUCCUAUGACAUAAUCAGAGAAAGGAUUGCUUUGGUUGUGGUGCAAAAAGCAAAAAAGUUUAACCUCCUACUUUGAUGGCAUUAAUGCUUUGAUAUGCUACUUAAUAAAGCCUGAAUUCCCCCCCAGAAAGUUUCCCUGUGCAUCACUAAGGAUUUUCUGAAGUCCAAUAAGGAAAAGAACUGAAGGCUUUUCCCCAGUGUUCAUCACCGAGGUUUGUCUCCAGUAUGAAUUAGCCUGAUUACUGCAAAAAGCUCUCCCACAGUCUCUACAAGGAGAGCAAUUCUUUCCUGUGAAUUCUCCAGUGAUGAAAAAGUGCUAGCUAUCCCCAAGUGAUUUUCCACAUUGAUUAUAUUCAUCAUCUUCUCUCCAGAAUGAAUGAUCUAAUGUUCAAUGUACGCCACACUUCCCCUAGAUAGCUUUCCAUAUUCAUUACAUAUGACCAGUUUAAGUCCCAAACGAAUUAGCUGGUAUUGUCUAAGGAUGGAGCUCUGAUUGAACGUUCUUCCUCAUCCAUUAUGCUCAGAGGGCCUCUCUCUGCUACGAAAUCCCAGAUGUCUAAUUAGCUCUGAGCACCAUCCAAAAGCAUUUUUAUAGCCAUUACGUACAUAUGGUUUCUCUCCAGUGUGAAUUCUCUGACGUUGAAUGAGCUUUACUUUCCUUUAGGCCCGUGCACAUUUAUGCAUUUGUAGAGUUUCUACUGCCUGUGAAUUAGCUGACGCUGUGUUGGAAUGCUGACAGUGCCUCCCUCAUCCCCUGGGAUUCUCUCCAAGAUGAAUGUUACAAUGUUCAAUGGGAUGGGAGCCCCAAGGAAAAUUGUCUGUAUUCACAAUAGUCAAAGAUGUUCUCUCUAAUGUGAAUGCUGUAAUAUCAAAUAAAUUCUAAAUUCUGUACCAAGA